CAAGCCGCCCAACAAGUCAAGGAGCCAAGAAAACUGCCCAGGAAGUAGUGCCAGGAUGAACAUCUCCAGGGUCCAUAGGAGGCAUCCAGAAAUACCACCUACCCAAACUGAGACAAAAACUUCAUUUUCAUCAUCAUCGUCAUCAUCAAAAUCAUGGAUCAUUACCACCACCACAUCACUUACAAGCGGGUUGUAAGAAAGUCAUACUCUUUCUUAUUUGCCCACGUUUCUUGAAAUUAUUACUUUAUUAAACUACAU
ensembl:lncRNA novel transcript